rfam:Trabulsiella guamensis ATCC 49490 GTGT.assembly.089, whole genome shotgun sequence.
AUUUCUCUGAGAUGUUCGCAAGCGGGCCAGUCCCCUGAGCCGAUAUUUGAAACAACAAGAAUGCGACGCUCCAUGGUCGGUGCGCAUGCUCGGUUAGUCCGAGAAGCCUUAAGACUGUGACGACGUAUUCACCUUGAACCACGGGUUCAAGGGUUACAGCCUGCGGCGGCAUCUCGGAGAUUCC